UCUUUUUUAUGCCCCACCUACGAUAGUAGAGGGGCAUUAUGUUUUCUGGUCUGUGCGUCCGUUCGUCCGUCCGUUCGUUCGUCCGUUCGUCCGUCUGUCCCGCUUCAGGUUAAAGUUUUUGUCGGGUAGUUUUUGAUGAAGUUGAAGUCCAAUCGACUUCAAACUUGGUACACAUGUUCCCUAUGAUAUGAUCUUUCUAAUUUUAAUGCCAAAUUAGAGAUUUUCCCCCAAUUUCACGGUCCACUGAACAUAGAAAAUGAUAGUGCGAGUGGGGCAUUCGUGUACUGAGGACACAUUCUUGUUUUCAAAUA
rnacentral:lncRNA from 1 species